UUGGUGCAAGCUCUAUAUUAUUACUUGAAUAGGGCAUUAAAUAGGAGAGCACCACACAUGCUUGGUAUUACCACCAUGCAAAUGUCACACCAGCCAAUUAUUAACAGCGGUCCCUUUAACUUCAAUAGCUAUUGAAACAACCAAGGAUGACAUGGGUAUACUCAGAUUUUAGUUAAUAAGAUUAGAAAUGAGAAGGAAAUAAAGUAGGUGAGGAUAGGGAUAAAUAAAAAAAUAUUGAGGCAGAUAAAGUAGCUGGGAAAGGAAAGUCGGUUGGGAUACUGUUCAGGUCCACGGAUUUUAGUGAUUAUUAAAGCUGUGGAAGGUUAUCAUUAAUAAGUAAAAAGAUGAGGAUUGGAGAAACAUACAUGCGGGCAAAACACUAAUACACAUGAAAUAAAAAUUAAUCAUUUAACACAUUUUUAAAAGGAAGAAGUAAAAAGUGGCUGAACAUAGUGGCACACACCUUUAACCCCAGUUCUCAGGAGGCAGAGGCAGGUGGAUCUCUGUGAGUCUCAGGCCCUGUUCUACAUUUGAACUCCAGGCCAUUCAGGGCUACUGACUGAGAUCCUGUCUAAAACAAACAAACAAACAAACAAACAAACAAACCUCCCCCAAAAUGAAAAGAGUAGUGGAGAGGAUAAGAAAAGAAGAUAGGACAUAGGAAUCAGACAGGAAGCAUGAGCUGUGAUUGUAGAGUAAAGAAUAAACUGGAUGGAGAAAAUAAAUAGCAGUUCUGGUUUUGCCUUCUCUCUUCUAGCACACCUUGGCUACUGCUAAGUGAUGGUGGAAGCUGAGGUGACCAGAAAGUUCCAGUUCCCAUUGAGCACCUCCACAAAUGCCUCUGCAACACUGUUGUGUCAUUACGGGGGAGUACCUAUCUGUUAUCUGUUCUUCUUGAAUUGUGACCCUAACUAAGCAUGCUCAGAUGCUUGAGUUGAACAUGCACUGGUUUGGGCCCUUCCCAAAUGCCCCCCCCAUAUCAAUAUGUUUAGGCCUCUAACAAUUCUUCACCCUUCCUUUGUUUGAGGCGAGCACUAUGCUCUCCUGCCUGUAGGUGAUAAACAUCCUUCACGGUUGUGUCCUGACUGUGAUUUUAAGUCUCGCACUUGAAGCUGCUCACACAGCCACAGCUGGGAUGCUGGUGCUAAGCUUGCUUCUUCGGUUUUCUCCAUUUUACUCAGUCCGGGACCCCAGACCAUGGAUGGUGCAACUGACUUUCAGUGCAAGUCUUCCUCACUCAGCUCAACACCCUCCUAAGACACAUCCAGAGGUGUGAUUCCAUAUCUCAGGUCACACUCUAUCACUGAGGAAAGUCAGGGCAGGACCCUGGAGACAGGAACUGAAGUAGAGGCCAUGGGAGAACGCUGCUUGCUGGCUUGCUUCUCAUGCCUUGUUCAGCCUACCUUCUGAUCGAUAUACCUCAAGACCGUCCCCCAUGGGCUGGGCCCCUUCACAUCAACCUGGAUGAAGGCAUUUUUCGCAACUGGGUCUCCCUUUUGCCAAAUGACUAAAGCAUUGAUUGGUCAAGUUGACAAGAUAACCAACACAUGAAGAAGAGAAAUGGGCCUAAUAAAAAAUUUGAAUCCCUGUCCACAAAAUAAAAUAAAAUAAAUUCAACUGUUGUAUAA